rnacentral:sRNA from 12 species
AUGCUUUAAGCGAAGGGAAAUAUCCGUGUCGGGGUAAACUACGGCUUCCGGAUUCCUGGAUAGAGCAUCUCAUAGGAAAGUACCGUUAGAAAGAUCAACUCGUAAUUGAUUGAGUAUAAAUAACCUCUAGAGGGAGGUCGCGUGGAAACUAUGAUGAAACUCCUAGAAGUGGGCGUGCCUGGCAGAAGGAGUAGGUCGAAAACUGGUUGCUGAAGCAGCGUAAGCUCCCUGAUGUAAACUCCCUGAAGUUAUCAUAGUAAUACAUCAAAGCAAUAUGAAAGUUGGCCAGUAUAAAUAAAUUCCCUGUUAACGGAAAGAGGGUUUGCAAAUCCGACGUCGCGAGACACGGACCUCAUGGGAAGAAGAAACAACUUUAGUGUUAGAGAGAUACUGUUAAUGAGCUCUAACAUGUUCAAAUAUUUUAUUUAAG